rnacentral:lncRNA from 7 species
UUAGUUUUCAGGACUCUGAAAGUUACCUUGUUCCUGCUGUUCUGUACUCCUGGAGCAAGCUGAAAUGUUUUGUUUACAUGAAGAUCAACAAAUAUCAGAUAUUUGCCAAGUGCAGAGGUUGUUUGAAUUUGGAGGUCCAGAAGGGUUUCUGAAAUUUCACUCUGCUUCUGUGUUGGGAUGGCACCCAGGUCUGAAGGUCUGCAGUUCAACAGAAAUACGCUUGCCUGGCAUAUGUAUCUCCAGGAAGCUGAGGAUAAAAGGAUCCUGUAGCUGUGCACUAGUGAUGCAGCCCUUGAUGUGCUGAAAGAUUAUUCACUUAUACUGAAUUAUAUUUUCUAGACCAGAUAGUGGCUGUUUACCAGAUCACUAUCUCCUUGCAAUACCAGUGACUGCUGUAACACUAAUAAAACAUUGGAACACUAGUAAUAUGUGAAGGCAUUUUUCAGAGAUAAGUAAUAAUCUACCUAGUGGCACUUCCUGACUGACAGUUUAUGCAUACUCCCUUGUGCCUGUCUUUUCAUCAAGAUCUUCAGCUGCUUUUUGAGAACGUGAAUGCUGGAGCAGUUCUCGUACCAUUUUCAAAUUUGCUAUGUUUCAUCUACAGCUAAAGGAAGGAGUGUGCCAAGUAUCUUAGUUUGUAGACUUAAUUUACCUUUCCUCAGAGGCAGACAGAGACACUUAGAUCUUUACAUCCCACUCAGUUUUUCAGAUUGAAAAUUCUUUCAUAUUUAAAUGCCAUGAAGGCAAUAUACAUGAUCAAUAUUUAGAGGAAGUCUUUCCAGCUUACCACAACUAUGUUUGCAGCAACAGUCAGUUCAGUCUUCAAUAGGACCAUGUGUUUUGACUAGCAGAGAUAACUGCAAUACUCUGGAGAAAGCAUGUAAAAAUAAAUGUUGAUGUUUCU